GGAGGAGUGGCAGAGUGGUCGAAUGCACCGGUCUUGAAAACCGGCGUGCGUGAAAGCGUACCGUGGGUUCGAAUCCCACCUCCUCCGCCA
rnacentral:tRNA from 66 species